rnacentral:rRNA from 1 species
GUGCGAGGGCAUACAGUCCUCGCUUUUCUGUACCGUAAGGUGGUACAGGAACAAGUGCUGGGCAAGACCGGUGCCAGCCGCCGCGGUAAUACCGGCAGCACGAGUGAUGGCCGCUCUUAUUGGGCCUAAAGCGUCCGUAGCCGGCCGAGCAAGUUCGUUGGGAAAUCUGCCCGCUUAACGGGCAGGCGUCCGGCGAAAACUGUUCGGCUUGGGGCCGGGAGAUCUGAGGGGUACGUCCGGGGUAGGAGUGAAAUCCCGUAAUCCUGGACGGACCACCGGUGGCGAAAGCGCCUCAGAAAAACGGACCCGACGGUGAGGGACGAAAGCUAGGGUCUCGAACCGGAUUAGAUACCCGGGUAGUCCUAGCCGUAAACGAUGCUCGCUAGGUGUGGCGCAGGCUACGAGCCUGCGCUGUGCCGUAGGGAAGCCGUGAAGCGAGCCGCCUGGGAAGUACGUCUGCAAGGAUGAAACUUAAAGGAAUUGGCGGGGGAGCACUACAACCGGAGGAGCCUGCGGUUUAAUUGGACUCAACGCCGGACAUCUCACCAGCACCGACAGUGUGCAGUGAAGGUCAGGUUGAUGACCUUACUGGAGCCACUGAGAGGAGGUGCAUGGCCGCCGUCAGCUCGUACCGUGAGGCGUCCUGUUAAGUCAGGCAACGAGCGAGACCCGCAUCCCUAGUUGCCAGCAGCAACCUUGUGUUGGCUGGGUACACUAGGGAGACUGCCGCUGCCAAAGCGGAGGAAGGAACGGGCAACGGUAGGUCAGUAUGCCCCGAAUGUGCUGGGCAACACGCGGGCUACAAUGGCCGGGACAGUGGGACGCGACCCCGAGAGGGAGAGCUAAUCUCCUAAACCCGGUCGUAGUUCGGAUUGCGGACUGAAACUCGUCCGCAUGAAGCUGGAUUCGGUAGUAGUCGCGUGUCAUUAGCGCGCGGCGAAUACGUCCCUGCUCCUUGCACACACCGCCCGUCAAAGCACCCGAGUGAGGUCCGGAUGAGGCCACCAUGCGGUGGUCGAAUCUGGGCUUCGCAAGGGGGCUUAAGUCGUAACAAGGUAGCCGUAGGGGAAUCUGCGGCUGGAUCACCUCCUA